CCGCUGAGUUAAGCAUAUCAUAAGCGGAGGAAU
rnacentral:rRNA from 1 species